CCUACGGGAGGCUGCAGUGGGGAAUAUUGGACAAUGGGGGGAACCCUGAUCCAGCCAUGCCGCGUGUGUGAAGAAGGCCCUCGGGUUGUAAAGCACUUUCAGUGAGGAAGAACGCCUGGUGGUUAAUACCCAUCAGGAAAGACAUCACUCACAGAAGAAGCACCGGCUAACUCCGUGCCAGCAGCCGCGGUAUUACGGAGGGUGCGAGCGUUAAUCGGAAUUACUGGGCGUAAAGCGCGCGUAGGUGGCUUGAUAAGCCGGUUGUGAAAGCCCCGGGCUCAACCUGGGAACGGCAUCCGGAACUGUCAAGCUAGAGUGCAGGAGAGGAAGGUAGAAUUCCCGGUGUAGCGGUGAAAUGCGUAGAGAUCGGGAGGAAUACCAGUGGCGAAGGCGGCCUUCUGGACUGACACUGACACUGAGGUGCGAAAGCGUGGGUAGCAAACAGGAUUAGAUACCCUAGUAGUC
rnacentral:rRNA from 1 species